AGCAGCCGCGGUAAUUCCAGCUCCAAUAGCGUAUAUUAAAGUUGUUGCAGUUAAAAAGCUCGUAGUUGAAUUUCGGGAUCAAUAUGUCGGUCGUGCCUCGGUACGUACUGGUAUCAUUGGUUUCUCCCUUCUGAUGAACCAUGAUGCCAUUAAUUUGGUGUCGUGGGGAAUCAGGACUGUUACUUUGAAAAAAUUAGAGUGUUUAAAGCAGGCUCACGCUUGAAUACAUUAGCAUGGAAUAAUGAAAUAGGACGUUUGAUUCUAUUUUGUUGGUUUCUAGGAUCGACGUAAUGAUUAAUAGGGAUAGUUGGGGGCAUUAGUAUUCAAUUGUCAGAGGUAAAAUUCUUGGAUUUAUUGAAGACUAACUACUGCGAAAGCAUUUGCCAAGGAUGUUUUCAUUAAUCAAGAACGAAAGUUAGGGGAUCGAAGACGAUCAGAUACCGUCGUAGUCUUAACCAUAAACUAUGCCGACUAGGGACCGGAUGAUGUUAAUUUUUAAUGACUCAUUCGGCGCCUUAAC
rnacentral:rRNA from 1 species